CAUAUGAAGACGAAGAACUACUCAAGGAACCAGUGGAACUUCAUCGACUAAAAGAUCAAUCUUAUACUGAAUUCUUGGGAAAAUCAUGGGAAUAUACUGCGAUGAUAUGACUAAGAUGCGUACUACUGGCGUGGGAAACAUGACUCUUUAUCCUCUUGCAACCACCAGUUCCAUGAUCAUGGGUAUUCCAUUCUGACAGUAUCAUGGAAGCUCACAUUUUUGUUGAUGACGUCUCUAUCUAUGGUCUGGUAUCUUGGUAAGUUUGCACCGACCGUAAGAAAGCAUUAUCAAUUUACUUUGUUUAGAGGUUUUAGUUAGUUUUUAGCCUAAGUGUAAGCUGAAUUCAAAUGUGAAAAGAGCAUUUUUUAACUUAUAUUGCUCUAAACUGAGGAUUUAAUUUUAAAUCCUUUUUGGUGUAAUUUUUAAAUUAGUAAAAUCAAUCAACUAAGGAUCCAAAUGU